rnacentral:lncRNA from 1 species
UUUCAAUAAGAAUUAUCGAUCAUAAAGAUAAUCCUCGUAGGUUCCAUAAUUCAUUAGUGAUACUUAGCAGUAUGUAGUAAUAAUCCAAAAAAAUAGAAGGUGAAUCUCUAAGUAUAGUUAUUGUGUGAUAUAGUUCUUCUAUUAGAGUUUCAAUAAGAUGGAGAUUAUAAAUUACUCGUCAAACCACAACAUCUAUCAUACGUAGGAUUUAUUCGAUUGGAGUUUCUUAUGUGAAGUAUGUAGAAAUUUUUUUUCACUAUUUAGACUGCUUUGGCCA